CCUUGAUCCAACAAUCUGGACAGCUCUUGCCUUCAGAGAGAAGAGUCUCCCGUCCUUCGGAGCCGUGCGUCUCCUCCAGAGCUUCUCCAGUAUCUGCAGUUUUCCAAAAGAAUCCUUGUGCUGAAGAGGCGCCUUCUGCUGCCUUCAAAUGCGACUGAAACACUGGCGAUGUCAGGCAUAAAAUAGGCUCGCAGCACCUGGGCGCUGUGGGGAGAGCCCAGGUGCAGGGAAGGGCAAUCCAGGCUCGAAUCCUGAUUCUGCCAGUUCCUGGCCGUGGGGCCUUGAGCGGGUGGCUCAGCCUCUCUGCGCCACUCUCCCUUCAGCGU
ensembl:lncRNA